rnacentral:rRNA from 1 species
UACGGGGGGGGCAAGCGUUGCUCGGAAUCACUGGGCGUAAAGCGCACGUAGGCGGCUUACUAAGUCAGGGGUGAAAUCCUGGAGCUCAACUCCAGAACUGCCUUUGAUACUGGUGAGCUUGAGUCCGGGAGAGGUGAGUGGAACUGCGAGUGUAGAGGUGAAAUUCGUAGAUAUUCGCAAGAACACCAGUGGCGAAGGCGGCUCACUGGCCCGGUACUGACGCUGAGGUGCGAAAGCGUGGGGAGCAAACAGG